rnacentral:lncRNA from 1 species
CAGAUUCUAAGUAUGGACAGUAUGAAACUGUAGAGGAUUGAUACACAUUUUAAACUAUGUACAACAAUAAGUUACCAUUAGCUAAUUCGAAUUGGCUUAAGCUAAUAAAUGUCAUAACAGGUGUUCAACGAUAUUCAGGCAUUAAUGAACUGAAGGCUAGACAUAUGUUGUUACUAAUCUCACACAAGGCCUACCAGACCGAUGAACUACAGAAUACUUUAUCAAGAAAGUUUUAUUCAAAACAGAAAAAUGGCUCGAUUUUAGCUACAUUACGGAUCCCUUAUUCGAUUCUUAUUAUCUCGACAGAAGACAAACAAUUAACCUACUGCUAAAUGAUUCUAAGCUGAAUUAUCACUAAAAGCAAUCCAUAGUCUGGAUUAACAGUUAACAUCAAUGGGUAACAGUCCUAUUAACAAACCAUAAUACAAUAACCAUAGAUUAAAAACUGAGCAACUAUAAUGACUGACUAUUACUAAAUGUAGGAGUAAAUGACUCAAAAAAUGCUCAAACUAAGUUGAAAAACCCAACCCAUCAAUCCAGAAACGAAUGUCAACAACCAAAAACCCAGCAAAGCUCCCAAACUCUCGAAGUCUAACAGACCAGCUUGAAGUUGAAACCCAAACAACAAUACAAACAAACCAGGCACGAACACUUGAAAUCCCAAAGCAAUGCCAGAAAUCACAAAAGGAAACAGAACCGAAUGGAUCAAAGUGUGCAAUCCAAUAGUAAGUUCUGAUUUCUCUUUCUUCCCUCUUUCUUAGACUGAACUCUAAUGUGUAAAAUCCAUUUUCUAUUCAAAAUUCCAGUCUAUAUUUUUUACUCUCAAUGCCCUCUCUCGUUGAUUCAAAAGCUCUCUUAUUAUGUCCCAACUCUCUUCUAUUUAUAACUCAAGACAUACCUUUCCCCUUUUGAAAAACUUAACCAUCCGACCCCCAAAAUAACAAAGUCUGCCUACCCCUUUUGAAAAACUUACUCAAAGGUACUUUUCCCUUAAU